rnacentral:rRNA from 1 species
CACGUAGGGUGCGAGCGUUGUCCGGAAUUAUUGGGCGUAAAGAGCUCGUAGGCGGUGUGUCGCGUCGGCCGUGAAAACCUGCAGCUUAACUGCGGGCUUGCGGUUGAUACGGGCGGGCUAGAGUUCGGUAGGGGAGACUGGAAUUCCUGGUGUAGCGGUGAAAUGCGCAGAUAUCAGGAGGAACACCGGUGGCGAAGGCGGGUCUCUGGGCCGAUACUGACGCUGAGGAGCGAAAGCGUGGGGAGCGAACAGG